AUUGAACGCUGGCGGCAUGCCUUACACAUGCAAGUCGAACGGUAACAGGUCUUCGGAUGCUGACGAGUGGCGAACGGGUGAGUAAUACAUCGGAACGUGCCCGAGAGUGGGGGAUAACGAAGCGAAAGCUUUGCUAAUACCGCAUACGAUCUCAGGAUGAAAGCAGGGGACCGCAAGGCCUUGCGCUCACGGAGCGGCCGAUGGCAGAUUAGGUAGUUGGUGUGAUAAAAGCUUACCAAGCCGACGAUCUGUAGCUGGUCUGAGAGGACGACCAGACACACGUGGACUGCGACACGACACAGACUCCUACGGGAGGGAGCAGUGGGGAAUUUUGGACAAUGGGCGCAAGCCUGAUCCAGCCAUGCCGCGUGCAGGAUGAAGGCCUUCGGGUUGUAAACUGCUUUUGUACGGAACGAAAAGACUCCUUCUAAUAAAGGGGGUCCAUGACGGUACCGUAAGAAUAAGCACCGGCUAACUACGUGCCAGCCGCCGCGGUAAUAC
rnacentral:rRNA from 1 species